AGAUCCGGCUCCUGUAGGAGCUCGGGCGAAGCCUACUUGUAAUCACAGUCAGGGGUGAUGUCCGGCUCCCGUAGGAGUCCGGACGAAGCUUACUUGCAAUUAGAGUCAGGGACGAGGUCCGGCUCCCGUAGGAGUCCGGACGGAGCCUUUCUGCAUUCAGAGUUGGGGACGAGAUCCGGCUCCCGUAGGAGCUCGGGCGAAGCCUACC
rnacentral:lncRNA from 1 species